GCAGCCUGGAAGGCAGGAGCUCUGGGAGUGAGGAUGUGGAAAGGAGCAUGACUUGCAAGUACAGCUCAUGAUAGCCCUGAGAGGAUGGGCACUAGGGUUUAGCCAGGGGGCUUUAGCUACAAGAAUGCUUUGAAGAUUUGAAGAGCUAAAGGGUAUAAAAGAAGAAUGAUAAAAGAAGAAUGAAACAGCUAACUGUGUGCAUGCAUCAAGAAUGAAAGAUCCUUCUGACAAGAACUGCUGCUGCACUCAGCUGAUGUUCGGGUGACCAGAUCCACACCUCAAGAAGCCGACAAGAAAUAGACCACUUCUUUUGCCUGUAUUGGUGAGAAAUUAUCACUUUACAGCUAAAUACUGGACUUUGUUUUGCUUUAGGCUCAUUUAAUAGUGAAUACUUGUACUAAAUAAAGUUUUUCUGUCAUUCCUUGAA